UACGUAGGGUGCUAGCGUUGUCCGGAAUCAUUGGGCGUAAAGAGCGUGUAGGCGGCCCGGUAAGUCCGCUGUAAAAGUCAAAGGCUCAACCUUUGAAUGUCAGUGGAUACUGCCGGGCUAGAGUCCGGAAGAGGCGAGUGGAACUCCUGGUGUAGCGGUGGAAUGCGCAGAUAUCAGGAGGAACACCGGUGGCGAAGGCGGGUCUCUGGGCAGUAACUGACGCUGAGGAGCGAAAGCGUGGGGAGCGAACAGG
rnacentral:rRNA from 1 species